GCCGGGGUGGCGAAAUUGGUAGACGCGACGGAUUCAAAAUCCGUUGGGGUAAAACCCGUGCCGGUUCGAGUCCGGCCCUCGGUACCA
rnacentral:tRNA from 2 species